CCUCCCAUUCAUUUGCUGCCGUUGUCUUUCAGUAAUACGAGCAGUUAUACGCAUGGGAUAAAGUAGCCUUGGGCCAUUGUAAAUUGAGCUGGAGUGACUUUUUCAUCUCUUCUACAUGGUCUAGACAUUG